rnacentral:misc_RNA from 1 species
UUAAGUUCAGCGGGUAGUCCUACCUGAUUUGAGGUCAGAUUUCAAAGUUUAGCUUGACCGCCGCUCCACAGGCGGUCGGGGUCGGGCACGGAAGGGGAACUUCUCGGUAGAGCGAGGAUGAUACAACGCCCAGUCGAGUUCGACCCACAGGCCCAACCGAUGCAUUUGAGGGGAGCCGCCUCACAGCAGCAAGCCCCCAG